AUGCACGCUGGCGGCGUGCCUAAUCCCUGCAAGUCGAGCGAACAGACGAGGAGCUUGCUCCUCUGACGUUAGCGGCGGACGGGUGAGUAACACGUGGAUAACCUACCUAUAAGACUGGGAUAACUUCGGGAAACCGGAGCUAAUACCGGAUAAUAUAUUGAACCGCAUGGUUCAAUAGUGAAAGACGGUUUUGCUGUCACUUAUAGAUGGAUCCGCGCCGCAUUAGCUAGUUGGUAAGGUAACGGCUUACCAAGGCGACGAUGCGUAGCCGACCUGAGAGGGUGAUCGGCCACACUGGAACUGAGACACGGUCCAGACUCCUACGGGAGGCAGCAGUAGGGAAUCUUCCGCAAUGGGCGAAAGCCUGACGGAGCAACGCCGCGUGAGUGAUGAAGGUCUUCGGAUCGUAAAACUCUGUUAUUAGGGAAGAACAAAUGUGUAAGUAACUAUGCACGUCUUGACGGUACCUAAUCAGAAAGCCACGGCUAACUACGUG
rnacentral:rRNA from 1 species